GCCUUUCUGGUGUAAUGUUUAGCACACUCGGCGCGUAUUCGAGAGGUCCGAGGUUCGAGUCCCGGCGAAGGCA
rnacentral:tRNA from 1 species